UUAAGCAUAUCACUAAGCGGAGGAAAAGAAACUAACCAGGAUUCCCUUAGUAACGGCGAGUGAACAGGGAGAAGCCCAGCACCGAAGCCUGCGGCCAUUUGGUCACUAGGCAAUGUGGUGUUAAGGUCGUCUCACAGUGGUACUGCUCCAUUCUAAGUCCAACACUGAGUACGGUUGUAUGGACAUGGCCCAAGGAGGGUGAAAGGCCCGUGGGGGUGGAGAUCAGUGAAGUCAGUGCCUCUCUGAGUAGACCCUGGAGUCGGGUUGUUUGUGAAUGCAGCCCAAAGUGGGUGGUAAACUCCAUCCAAGGCUAAAUACUGGCACGAGUCCGAUAGAGAACAAGUACCGUGAGGGAAAGUUGAAAAGUACUUUGAAGAGAGAGUAAACAGUGCGUGAAACCGCUCAGAGGUAAACGGGUGGAGUUGAACUGCAAGCUCUGAGGAUUCAGCUGGUGAGCUUGGCUUGAGCUUGGGUAUACUGGUCGGCCUCCCGGGCUCGUGUGAUUGCGAGUCCUGCCAAGGAUGUGUGGGUACUUAUCAAGUACUGUACGCUCGGGAUGGUUCACCGGGCCAGUUCGCCAGUGCACUUUUUCAGAGUAGUCACCACGACCGGCGCUGCUGUUUGUCUACUGUGGUCAAACCAGCCCUGUAGGGUCCUUGUAACCCUGCUGGAUUGGGAUGGCAGGUGGCUCAUUGGCUUGUCUUUUGAGUGUUAACAGCUGUCUUCAGUAGUACUAUGCAGUGUGUCGGAGACGGCGGCUUGUGGUGUGUGUGUACGUGCUCAUCUUGCCUUCCCUGUUGGAUUUGGUUGUCAUGUUGCCUGUAAAAGCCAGGCCUGGCAAUGAUCCGAUGUGGUUUGGUAGGUGAUGACGUACGUUUCACCGUUACUAGGGCCAAUAGUCUGUGGUGUAGUGGUAGACUAUCCACCCGACCCGUCUUGAAACACGGACCAAGGAGAGUAACAUGUGCGCGAGUCAUUGGGUAUUACGAAACCCAAAGGCGAAGUGAAAGUAAAGGUUCGGCUAGUCCGGACUGAGGUGAGAUCCUGGCGUUUCUCACGCGUGGUAUCACCAAGCAUACGAGCGUCAGGCGCAUCACCGGCCCGUCUCAUGGCGUAGACACGUUCUUUAGAACAGUGCACCGCCGGGGUGGAGCAUGAGCGUACACGUUGAGACCCGAAAGAUGGUGAACUAUGCUUGCAAAGGUUGAAGCCAGAGGAAACUCUGGUGGAGGACCGUAGCGAUUCUGACGUGCAAAUCGAUCGUCAAAUGUGAGUAUAGGGGCGAAAGACUAAUCGAACCAUCUAGUAGCUGGUUCCCUCC
rnacentral:rRNA from 1 species